rnacentral:lncRNA from 10 species
UGCACUCUUUGUAAUUUUUGGUAUUAAAGGUAUUUUUAACAAAUGCAGUCUGUAUCGUGGGAACAUCCUGAAGUUCCUGGAAUGUCUGUAGUCUAAAGUCAAGCCUGUUCCCACCCCUGGCCUUCCUCUUUAAAGGCUUGAUGUUGUUCGAUGGGAUGUCUAUUUUUGUUCAUUUAGGUUUCAAAUUGAAGCGUGACUAGCACUGGGAAAUUGGCAUUCCCCUGCAGUCAGCUCUUCUUCCUCCAGCCCCAGAUGUGGGACGGUAGAGCAGAGGGGCAAAAGGAUCGGACGGCACUGUGUGCUCUAGGCAGGGACAGCUGAGGGGCCAAUGCCCUGCCCCUCCCAGCCAGAGGAGGAUGCCCCCAUCUGUUCACUGCACCCUCCAGUGGGAAACGAGCAAAACAAGAGGCAAUGCAUUUGCAGUCACUACAGUAGGAAGAGGUAUUCGCUUUCCACCAGCAGACACACAACAGGCUGGAUGUGGAGAGAAGCGGAUCGGCGGAAGAAGACACAAGCGGCUGGACGUCAAGGGGAGCACGCUGGCGGAAGAGCACAGCGACAGAAGAGCACACUGACAGACGUCGGCAGGCCACCCACCCUGGCAGAAUGACACAGGGUUUGGCUAGGGCAGUCAGAAGAGAGCCUGGGCCGCUGAGCGCCCGACUCCAGGGGAAAACCAUCUCUUGUCUGGCUCCCCCAUCUACUGAGAGCUACUUCCACUCAAUAAAACCUUGCACCCAUUCUCCAAGUCCAGGCGUGAUCUGAUUCUUCUGGUACACCAAGGCAAGAACCCAGAUACAGAAAGCCCUUUGGCCUUACAACAAGGACCCAGUUUCUCUGGCUGCUGGACCAAGGCCCCAGCUCUCGGCUGUCUCUCGGCUGGAGGCCGACUUUUGUUCCUUGCUGCAUAAGCCUUCCAUAGUGGCAGCUUCCUGCACCAAAGCCAGCAAGGAAUCUCACUGUGUUGACAGGCUGGGAUGCAAUGGUGGGAUCUUGGCUCACUGCAACCUCCGCCUCCAGGUUCAAGCAAUUCUCCUGCCUCAGCCUCCUGAGUAGCUGGGAUUACAGUCACGUCCCACAAGGCCCGGGUACUUUUUGUAUUUUUAAUUGAGAUAGGGUUUUGUCAUGUUGGUCAGGCUGGUCUUGAAUUCCUGGCCUCAAGUGAUCUGCCCACCUUGGCCUCCCGAACUUCUGGGAUUACAGGCAUGAGCCACUGUGGCCGGCCAAUCUUUGAUAAUCUGACGGAUGACAAGAAUAUCUCAUUGUAAUUUUUGUUUCACUUGAGUUUGAACUCUUUUACAAUAUGUUUAUUGACCACUUGUGUUUCAUUGUUACCUGUGAAUUGUCUGUUUUUAUUAUGUAGGUGGUCUUCUUGUUGCUAUGUAAAGAUUCUUUUUUUUCUUUCUUUUCUUUUUUUUUUUUUUGGGACAGAGUCUCGCUCUGUCUCCCAGGCUGGAGUGCAGGGGCAGGAUCUCAGCUCACUGCAGCCUCUGCCUCUCGGGUUCCAGCGAUUCUCCUGCCUCAGCCUCCUGAGUAGCUGGGAUUACAGUUGCCUGCCACCACGCCUGACUAAUUUUUGUACUUUUAGUAGAGAUAGGGUUUCACCAUGUUGGCCAGGCUGGUCUCAAACUCCUGACCUCAAGUAAUCCGUCUGCCUCAGCCUCCCAAAGUGCUGGGAUUACAGGCAUAAGCCACCAUGCCCAGCCAUAAAGAUUCUUUAUGUGUUCUAUUACCAAUUCUUUGCCUUUGUUAUACAUGUUGCAAACAUUUUCUCCCAGUCCAUCAUUUCUCUUGUAGCUCUGUUUUUGGUGAGUUUUAUGUAUUGCCUGAUGUAUCAGUAUUUUCUCUCUGGGUUCAGAAACUUAUGUAUUGUAUUCUCUACUUCACCAACAAAGUUUCCUGUUUUUUUCUUUUCUUUUAUUUUUUUUGGAUGGAGUCUCACUCCGUCACCCAGACUGGAAUGCAGUGGCACAAUCUCGGCUCACUGCAAC